CUUUCAACAGUGAAACAUUAAUAUCAUUAAAAAUUACUUACUCUAUGACUAUAGAAUUUCAUCAACAACCGGAAACAUAAUUAUUCUAUUUCAGCAAAUAUACUAUAUGAGUUAUUUUCAAUCCGUUACACUUGUGUUAGUUACAUCGAUAGUAAUUUUUAUAAGGAUAAAAAAACGAAGACAAAUUACUUUGGCUGCUCAAAUACCUGGUCUGAAAGGUCAUUUUAUUGUUGGAACUCCAACGAUCUUAACUCGAGGGCCAGAAUAUUUCUUAGAGACAACAAAACUAUUAUGCAAGAAGUACCAGAAUUCUUUAUUUAAAUUUUGGUUUUUUAACAAGCUGGUUGUUUGUAUAUCCAUUGCCGAAGAUAUAGGAGAAGCAAUGAAUAGUUUAAAUUGUUUUCAAAAGGACAUACCUUAUCCGUUAUUGCAAGAUGUUAUGUCGAUGAAGGGGCUAAUCACAACUAACAGUAUACAUAAGUAUAAAAAACACCGGAAAAUAAUAAAUGAAUGGCUUAAGUAUUCAAAUUUAAAAUCAUUGAUACCAUCUUUUUACGAAGAAUCUAAAAUUCUUGAACACAUUUUGAGUGAAAAGAGUAAAAGAAAACCAUUUGAACUAGAAAUAAGCCGAAUUUUCGAACUAGCAUCGAUGGACACUAUUGGAAGAACAGCGAUGGGAGAAGAAUUUCAUUCACAAAAUA